AUUGAACGCUAGCGGGAUGCUUUACACAUGCAAGUCGAACGAGUGGCGGACGGGUGUGUAGUAUAUUGGAACGUGCCCAGUCGCGGGGGAUAACUACUCGAAAGAGUGGCUAAUACUGCAUACUACUCGAGCGGACGAUACCGGAUUCGCUAGUCGGUGGGGUAAAGGCUCACCAAGGCAACGAUCCGUAGCUGGUUUGAGAGGACGACCAGCCACACUGGGACUGAGACACGGCCCAGACUCCUACGGUAGGCAGCAGUAGGGAAUUGUGGACAAUGGGGGAAACCCUGAUCCAGCCAUCCCGCGUGUAUGAGAAGGCCUUCGGGUUGUAAAGUACUUUUGGCAGAGAAGCGGUAUCUGCAGAAUAAGCACCGGCUAACUACGUGCCAGCCGCCGCGGUAAUAC
rnacentral:rRNA from 1 species